UACAGAGGGUGCAAGCGUUAAUCGGAAUUACUGGGCGUAAAGCGUGCGUAGACGGUUAUUUAAGUCGGGUGUGAAAUCCCCGGGCUCAACCUGGGAAUUGCAUUCGAUACUGGAUAGCUAGAGUUCGGCAGAGGGAAGUGGAAUUUCCGGUGUAGCGGUGAAAUGCGUAGAUAUCGGAAGGAACAUCAGUGGCGAAAGCGGCCCACUGGUCCGGUACUGACGCUGAGGUGCGAAAGCGUGGGGAGCAAACAGG
rnacentral:rRNA from 1 species